CAGGGGGUGGCUUGGUGAAAUUCCCCAUCCAGAGGAGAACCAGAGUUCCCGGCCAUUAGGCUGCUCCCCCUUCCCUGGCUCCUUCCUCCUGGCAGAAAAUGGGGUCAGGGCAGGGGCCGCCCGCGGGGAGAGAAUCCCAGGGGUAAAAGCAAGACGAGGUCAUUUCCCAUCUUCCUGAUCCAUGGGAGAGCUCCUCCAUGGAAUGGUGCUGGAGCACUUCAGGAGACCCAGCUGCUUCUGGGAUGUUUGUUCACAUGGAAUCCUCCAAACCACAUUUACAGCUUCCAAGACUGAGAUUUCUGGGAUUUCCCCAGAUUUGGGAGCACGGUGUGGGCAGGAGGGACCCACAGGGAUGAAGUGGGAAGCAGAGGAGGGCUGGGUAUAAGGAAGGACAAAGAAAGGUUCGGUUCCAGUCCCCUGGAAGCGUUUUCUUGGGAAAUCCAGCCUGGCCUGAAUUCCCAGCAGCUUUUUCAGCCUCUGGAAUUGGAUCAUUACAAGGAAAAGGCAGAUCCAACAGGCCAAGCCAUGAAUUUGUUGCUCCAAUGGGAACAAGCCCAGGAGAGCUUCAGCUCCAGCACCAGGAAAGAUGGAAUCAGGAGCAGCCUGGCUUAUCCACAGCAACCCCUGUGCUGUGACCCUGCC